GCACACUCUCUCUCAUGGUGAUUUCGCCCUAAAUCUAAUCAAUCGAAAUCCAAUCCGACCUAGCCUUCGAAAUUAGAUUGGGGCUCACUGUUAUUUUCUCGCCUCUUUUCUCGAUCAUUUUCUCGAGAAAGUUCGUUUUUCGCUGAGGGGGAAAAAGAUGCAAUAAUCAGUGAUAAUAGUGUUGCCUACUUGACAGCCGCAUUGGUCAAUGGCAGUUGGCUGCACUUUAUUGUUUAAGAGUUUUCAUUCGUAAUAUUUGAGGUUACAGUAUGGCAAAGGUUGCUACUCGUGGUACUUUACCUUCUAAUUCUCAUCAAAUUGGUGGAGGUUCCCUCAAGAUGGGCUCAACAGUGAAAAGGAAGACUCCAUCAGAGCUUAGAGGAGAACAGUUGAAGAGGGUA